rnacentral:lncRNA from 1 species
UGAGCCCUGAAGCACGGCAUUGAGAAGCCGCCUAAGAAGGAGGCAGGUCCAUCAGCCUUGGUGCCCGACUGAUUACCCUGAGCAGAGCUCCCCAGCCCACCUGUGAUGGACACAUGGAGCUUGAGCAAGGAAUAAAUUUUUGUUGCUGGACUCUGUGAUUACACUGGACCUAUCCAAGAUCCGAGAUAAUCAACUCAUCUCAAAAUCCUUAAGUUGACCACAGCAGCAUCGUCCCUUUUGCAGUGUAAGAGAAGGAACACAGGCUCAAACAUCAGUGCCAUAUCUGAAGACAUUCAGCUAAUAACAGGAUGGAGUCCAACCUGAAACAACUGUCACGCUGAGCUUAAUUGCUGGAGAUGGUUGAAGGCACUGGGAGGCUGGAGUUUCCUGGAGGUGUCGGUGGCCAACCGUCAAUUAUUUGGGCUACUGUGCAGUGGGGAUAGAAGGAUGAUUAGAAUCCACAGACAACCCACUGGCCUUUGUUUACCAUUAACUUCUGUUUUCUCCACCAGCCAAGCUUCUCCAGACCCAGGAGAUGGCUCUUCCCCCUGUGUAGCACACUCCUUCCAGUCAAGGGGUCUUGCACUGCUAUUUCCCCUUCUGCUUUGCUUGGUUCAUUCUUACUGACCCUCCAAAUACUGAAGGAAUGAAUGGAGAAGUAAGUAAAUGAGAGAAGUGGCCAAGAGUCUCCAAGAGAGGAAAUUAAAAAAUCCUAUACCUGUGAGGAACUGGCCCACUUGCAAAA